GCAGCGCAAAGAGAUGGCGUGCCUCUAAAACCGCCGCACUAGUGCGGCUGAUGACGCCUACAGAACC
rnacentral:ncRNA from 20 species